UACGUAGGGUGCAAGCGUUGUCCGGAAUUAUUGGGCGUAAAGAGCUCGUAGGCGGUCUGUCACGUCUGCUGUGAAAACUCGGGGCUUAACCCCGGGCCUGCAGUGGGUACGGGCAGACUAGAGUGCGGUAGGGGAGACUGGAAUUCCUGGUGUAGCGGUGAAAUGCGCAGAUAUCAGGAGGAACACCGGUGGCGAAGGCGGGUCUCUGGGCCUUGCCUGACGCUGAGGCGCGAAAGCUAGGGGAGCGAACAGG
rnacentral:rRNA from 1 species